rnacentral:rRNA from 1 species
UACGUAGGGGGCAAGCGUUGUCCGGAUUUAUUGGGCGUAAAGAGCGUGUAGGCGGUCAGGUAGGUCCGCUGUGAAAACUCGAGGCUUAACCUCGAGAUGUCGGUGGAAACCAUCUGGCUAGAGUCCGGAAGAGGAGAGUGGAAUUCCUGGUGUAGCGGUGAAAUGCGCAGAUAUCAGGAAGAACACCCGUGGCGAAGGCGGCUCUCUGGGACGGUACUGACGCUGAGACGCGAAAGCGUGGGGAGCGAACAGG